GACGAACGCUGGCGGCGUGCCUAAUACAUGCAAGUAGAACGCGCAGUUUAUACCGUAGCUUGCUACACCAUAGACUGUGAGUUGCGAACGGGUGAGUAACGCGUAGGUAACCUGCCUGGUAGCGGGGGAUAACUAUUGGAAACGCUAGCUAAUACCGCAUAAUAUUAAUUAUUGCAUGAUAAUUGAUUGAAAGAUGCAACUGCAUCACUACCAGAUGGACCUGCGUUGUAUUAGCUAGUAGGUGAGGUAACGGCUCACCUAGGCGACGAUACAUAGCCGACCGGAGAGGGUGGGCGGCCACACUGGGACUGAGACACGGCCCAGACUCCUACGGGAGGCAGCAGUAGGGAAUCUUCGGCAAUGGACGAAAGUCUGACCGAGCAACGCCGCGUGAGGGAAGAAGGUUUUCGGAUCGUAAAGCACUGUUGUAAGAGAAGAACGGGUGUGAGAGUGGAAAGUUCACACUGUGACGGUAUCUUACAAGAAAGGGACGGCUAACUACGUG
rnacentral:rRNA from 1 species